rnacentral:rRNA from 1 species
UUUGUAUAAUGGGUCAGCGACUUAUAUUCUGUAGCAAGGUUAACCGAAUAGGGGAGCCGUAGGGAAACCGAGUCUUAACCGGGCGUUAAGUUGCAGGGUAUAGACCCGAAACCCGGUGAUCUAGCCAUGGGCAGGUUGAAGGUUGGGUAACACUAACUGGAGGACCGAACCGACUAAUGUUGAAAAAUUAGCGGAUGACCUGUGGCUGGGGGUGAAAGGCCAAUCAAACCGGGAGAUAGCUGGUUCUCCCCGAAAGCUAUUUAGGUAGCGCCUCGUGAAUUCAUCUCCGGGGGUAGAGCACUGUUUCGGCUAGGGGGCCAUCCCGGCUUACCAACCCGAUGCAAACUGCGAAUACCGGAGAAUGUUAUCACGGGAGACACACGGCGGGUGCUAACGUCCGUCGUGAAGAGGGAAACAACCCAGACCGCCAGCUAAGGUCCCAAAGUCAUGGUUAAGUGGGAAACGAUGUGGGAAGGCCCAGACAGCCAGGAUGUUGGCUUAGAAGCAGCCAUCAUUUAAAGAAAGCGUAAUAGCUCACUGGUCGAGUCGGCCUGCGCGGAAGAUGUAACGGGGCUAAACCAU